UACACGAGCGGCGAACGGGUGAGUAACACGUGGGUGAUCUGCCCUGCACUCUGGGAUAAGCUUGGGAAACUGGGUCUAAUACCGGAUAUGACCGCAUGCUCGCAUGGGGGUGUGGNGGAAAGAUUUAUCGGUGCAGGAUGGGCCCGCGGCCUAUCAGCUUGUUGGUGGGGUAAUGGCCUACCAAGGCGACGACGGGUAGCCGACCUGAGAGGGUGACCGGCCACACUGGGACUGAGACGACGGCCCAGACUCCUACGGGAGGCAGCAGUGGGGAAUAUUGCACAAUGGGCGGAAGCCUGAUGCAGCGACGCCGCGUGAGGGAUGAAGGCCUUCGGGUUGUAAACCUCUUUCAGCAGGGACGAAGCGUGAGUGACGGUACCUGCAGAAGAAGCACCGGCUAACUACGUGCCAGCAGCCGCGGUAAUACGUAGGGUGCGAGCGUUGUCCGGAAUUACUGGGCGUAAAGAGUUCGU
rnacentral:rRNA from 1 species